rnacentral:rRNA from 1 species
AGGGAUCAUUACCGAGUUUACAACUCCCCAAACCCAAUGUGAACCAUACCAAACUGUUGCCUCGGCGGGGUCACGCCCCGGGUGCGUCGCAGCCCCGGAACCAGGCGCCCGCCGGAGGGACCAACCAAACUCUUUUCUGUAGUCCCCUCGCGGACGUUAUUUCUUACAGCUCUGAGCAAAAAUUCAAAAUGAAUCAAAACUUUCAACAACGGAUCUCUUGGUUCUGGCAUCGAUGAAGAACGCAGCGAAAUGCGAUAAGUAAUGUGAAUUGCAGAAUUCAGUGAAUCAUCGAAUCUUUGAACGCACAUUGCGCCCGCCAGUAUUCUGGCGGGCAUGCCUGUCCGAGCGUCAUUUCAACCCUCGAACCCCUCCGGGGGGUCGGCGUUGGGGAUCGGGAACCCCUCAGACGGGAUCCCGGCCCCGAAAUACAGUGGCGGUCUCGCCGCAGCCUCUCCUGCGCAGUAGUUUGCACAACUCGCACCGGGAGCGCGGCGCGUCCACGUCCGUAAAACACCCAACUUCUGAAAUGUUGACCUCGGAUCAGGUAGGAAUACCCGCUGAACUUAA